UCUGGCAGCCGCUCUGGCGGCUUCGGCAGUGGUGUCUCGAGGCAGGCUUCGGCUUCCUGGACAAUGACCCGCACAUCACGACAAGGGACAUGCUCAGCUGGGAUGGGCUUCACCUGUCCCCCAAAGAUGACACAAAGCUGGAAGGAGUGGAUUAUCAUACAGGAAGAAUGAGAAAACCUUGUGGAUUGAAGUAACAGAAACUAUAUGAAAGGUAAUACUAUAAAUUUUUGUUGUAAAUUCAUAGAUUAAAGGCAACAAAAGAAGAAAGCAACUUGGGUGUAUUGGUUGAUUAUGGGAUGUUGCAAUGAAAAAGGCUAAUGCAAUCCUAGGGUGUAUUAGGCAACAGUAUUUUUAGUAGAGAAGUAAAUAUUAAUACCAUGUACACAUAAAGAAUAAUUGUAUGCCUUUCACCGUUUGUUUUUGCUAACCUAAACAAGCCAAACUCUUUUAAUUUUCUCUAAAAUUUUCUCAGACACCUCCCACAUGUGCAGCAACUCAUCUAGAGAUCAAAUUUCAUAUUAACUUCCCAUUAAUCCAUGGGAACACCAAACCUUCAAAGUUUCAUAUCACAUGUUCUGUAUGAGGAAGAAGGCACAGGGUAACAUAGGGCUGUUACAGAAUGAACUAGGGCAACUCAUAACUGAUAGGAUGGAAAAAGCAGAGCUCUUAAAUAAUUUCUUUGCUUCUGUUUCCCUGGACAUGGAUACAAAUACACCUCCCAAUUGUCACAACCCAAAGUUGUGAUUUUUGUUUGUGUUUGCUUCGGCAUCGCUAAAUUAUUUUUCCCGCUGAAUUGCAGCUUCCUUGCACGGUGGGGUUCUCUGCUGCAAAAGAGAACUCAGGUGCAACAGAGUAUUUCCCGCCAAAUGUGUAGCUUUCUUUGCAUGGUGCAUUUCUUUUGCAUCUAAGAAAUGCACGGUGCAAGGAAUUCCCGCCAUUUGUAUGAGGAUUUGUGCCACAUUAUUGGCCGAUUCUAAAUUAUGCACACGUGGUGGCUAGCAAUUGGCUUGCUAGCCGUAUAAAGAGCUUGGGUAGUUUCCGCCCAAGUUGGAGAGAGAAACAAACUGGAGAGAGGAGGAGAAAUUGGAGAACUCACCAGGAGGAGGAUCUUCACGCUGUGUGAAGAUCUCUAAGCGCUGCGGACCCUUACGGACCCAACGCAUCUCUUAAAAAGGCAACAGAGGUCUAAACAGCCUCUGACCUCUCCCCAUCGCCGAGCGCAAUCCUAGACGUAUCCCUUUUCCUGUAUACUAAAUAUUCGAACCCGUGGAGCUUUAACCACUCCAUGGGAGGGAACCGGACCGAACCCACGGAGCUUCAGCAACUCCAGGGGAAAGAAAUUACCGAACCCGCGGAGCUUCACAACUCCGGGGCUAGAACAGAUUUGUCGUAGUCCUCCAACGAGGAUUUAAGCAGAACUGCGCCUGGAUGCUGACCAGCCUACAUCACUACCACCAUUGGUUUUGGCUGACCUCCCACGUCGGGCUUUAAACUAAGUAUGACAGGGGAUUGGGAGGCAGCAGAUGGAGAUAAUCUAGAACCUACAAACUGUGAGACAUGCAGCAGUACACCCCAGGACCUUCACCUAACACAGGAGGUAUACAGUACCACUAGCAGAAAUGCCUUACUGGACUUGGUGUUGGCUUCAGGGGAGGACCUGAUAGGGGAGCUGCAGAUUCGUGGUCACCUUGGGGACAGUGAACACCAAUCAAUCAAAUUCACCAUACGGCCUAAG